rnacentral:rRNA from 1 species
AGUGAACGCUGGCGGCGUGCUUAAUACAUGCAAGUCGAACGAUGAAGUCCUAGCUUGCUAUGAUGGAUUAGUGGCGCACGGGUGAGUAAUAUAUAGUUAUUCUGCCUUGCACUGAGUAACAACAGUUGGAAACGAUUGCUAAUACCUCAUACUCCAACUUUACAUAAGUUAAGUUGGGAAAGUCUUUUCGGUGCAAGAUGAGACUAUAUCGUAUCAGCUAGUUGGUAAGGUAAUGUCUUACCAAGGCGAUGACGCGUAACUGGUCUGAGAGGAUGAUCAGCCAAAUUGGAACGGAGACACGGUCCAGACACCUACGGGAGGCAGCAGUAAGGAAUAUUGUGCAAUGGGGGAAACCCUGACGGGGCAUCGCAGCGUAGAGGACGACAAUUUUGGGAGAGUAAAAUCCUUUUAUUAGGGAAGAAUAAUGACGGUACCUAACGAAUAAGCACCGGCUAACUCCGUG